GAUGAACGCUAGCGGCGUGCCUAAUACAUGCAAGUCGAACGGGGAGUAUUAAUUUCGAUUUUUACUCCUAGUGGCGAACGGGUGAGUAACGCGUUGGUGACCUGCCCCGAAGACGGGGGACAACAGCUCGAAAGGGCUGCUAAUACCCCAUGUGGUCGUACAGGUUAGAGGCUGAACGACUAAAGGAGCAAUCCACUUCGGGAGGGGCCUGCGUCCCAUCAGCUAGUUGGUAAGGUAACGGCCUACCAAGGCGAAGACGGGUAGGGGGCCUGAGAGGGUGGACCCCCCACACUGGCACUGAAACACGGGCCAGACACCUACGGGUGGCAGCAGUAGGGAAUAUUGCACAAUGGGCGAAAGCCUGAUGCAGCAACGCCGCGUGCGCGAAGAAGGCCUUCGGGUUGUAAAGCGCUUUUCUGGAGGAAGAGGAAGGACGGUACUCCAGGAAUAAGGAUCGGCUAACUACGUG
rnacentral:rRNA from 1 species